rnacentral:rRNA from 1 species
GGUUAAGCGACUAAGCGUACACGGUGGAUGCCCUGGCAGUCAGAGGCGAUGAAGGACGUGCUAAUCUGCGAUAAGCGUCGGUAAGGUGAUAUGAACCGUUAUAACCGGCGAUUUCCGAAUGGGGAAACCCAGUGUGAUUCGUCACACUAUCAUUAACUGAAUCCAUAGGUUAAUGAGGCGAACCGGGGGAACUGAAACAUCUAAGUACCCCGAGGAAAAGAAAUCAACCGAGAUUCCCCCAGUAGCGGCGAGCGAACGGGGAGCAGCCCAGAGCCUGAAUCAGUGUGUGUGUUAGUGGAAGCGUCUGGAAAGGCGCGCGAUACAGGGUGACAGCCCCGUACACAAAAAUGCACAUGCUGUGAGCUCGAUGAGUAGGGCGGGACACGUGGUAUCCUGUCUGAAUAUGGGGGGACCAUCCUCCAAGGCUAAAUACUCCUGACUGACCGAUAGUGAACCAGUACCGUGAGGGAAAGGCGAAAAGAACCCCGGCGAGGGGAGUGAAAAAGAACCUGAAACCGUGUACGUACAAGCAGUGGGAGCCUCUUUAUGGGGUGACUGCGUACCUUUUGUAUAAUGGGUCAGCGACUUAUAUUCUGUAGCAAGGUUAACCGAAUAGGGGAGCCGAAGGGAAACCGAGUCUUAACUGGGCGUUAAGUUGCAGGGUAUAGACCCGAAACCCGGUGAUCUAGCCAUGGGCAGGUUGAAGGUUGGGUAACACUAACUGGAGGACCGAACCGACUAAUGUUGAAAAAUUAGCGGAUGACUUGUGGCUGGGGGUGAAAGGCCAAUCAAACCGGGAGAUAGCUGGUUCUCCCCGAAAGCUAUUUAGGUAGCGCCUCGUGAACUCAUCUCCGGGGGUAGAGCACUGUUUCGGCAAGGGGGUCAUCCCGACUUACCAACCCGAUGCAAACUGCGAAUACCGGAGAAUGUUAUCACGGGAGACACACGGCGGGUGCUAACGUCCGUCGUGAAGAGGGAAACAACCCAGACCGCCAGCUAAGGUCCCAAAGUCAUGGUUAAGUGGGAAACGAUGUGGGAAGGCCCAGACAGCCAGGAUGUUGGCUUAGAAGCAGCCAUCAUUUAAAGAAAGCGUAAUAGCUCACUGGUCGAGUCGGCCUGCGCGGAAGAUGUAACGGGGCUAAACCAUGCACCGAAGCUGCGGCAGCGACGCUGAUGCGUUGUUGGGUAGGGGAGCGUUCUGUAAGCCUGUGAAGGUGUGCUGUGAGGCAUGCUGGAGGUAUCAGAAGUGCGAAUGCUGACAUAAGUAACGAUAAAGCGGGUGAAAAGCCCGCUCGCCGGAAGACCAAGGGUUCCUGUCCAACGUUAAUCGGGGCAGGGUGAGUCGACCCCUAAGGCGAGGCCGAAAGGCGUAGUCGAUGGGAAACAGGUUAAUAUUCCUGUACUUGGUGUUACUGCGAAGGGGGGACGGAGAAGGCUAUGUUGGCCGGGCGACGGUUGUCCCGGUUUAAGCGUGUAGGCUGGUUUUCCAGGCAAAUCCGGAAAAUCAAGGCUGAGGCGUGAUGACGAGGCACUACGGUGCUGAAGCAACAAAUGCCCUGCUUCCAGGAAAAGCCUCUAAGCAUCAGGUAACAUCAAAUCGUACCCCAAACCGACACAGGUGGUCAGGUAGAGAAUACCAAGGCGCUUGAGAGAACUCGGGUGAAGGAACUAGGCAAAAUGGUGCCGUAACUUCGGGAGAAGGCACGCUGAUAUGUAGGUGAAGUCCCUCGCGGAUGGAGCUGAAAUCAGUCGAAGAUACCAGCUGGCUGCAACUGUUUAUUAAAAACACAGCACUGUGCAAACACGAAAGUGGACGUAUACGGUGUGACGCCUGCCCGGUGCCGGAAGGUUAAUUGAUGGGGUCAGCGCAAGCGAAGCUCUUGAUCGAAGCCCCGGUAAACGGCGGCCGUAACUAUAACGGUCCUAAGGUAGCGAAAUUCCUUGUCGGGUAAGUUCCGACCUGCACGAAUGGCGUAAUGAUGGCCAGGCUGUCUCCACCCGAGACUCAGUGAAAUUGAACUCGCUGUGAAGAUGCAGUGUACCCGCGGCAAGACGGAAAGACCCCGUGAACCUUUACUAUAGCUUGACACUGAACAUUGAGCCUUGAUGUGUAGGAUAGGUGGGAGGCUUAGAAGUGUGGACGCCAGUCUGCAUGGAGCCGACCUUGAAAUACCACCCUUUAAUGUUUGAUGUUCUAACGUUGACCCGUAAUCCGGGUUGCGGACAGUGUCUGGUGGGUAGUUUGACUGGGGCGGUCUCCUCCUAAAGAGUAACGGAGGAGCACGAAGGUUGGCUAAUCCUGGUCGGACAUCAGGAGGUUAGUGCAAUGGCAUAAGCCAGCUUGACUGCGAGCGUGACGGCGCGAGCAGGUGCGAAAGCAGGUCAUAGUGAUCCGGUGGUUCUGAAUGGAAGGGCCAUCGCUCAACGGAUAAAAGGUACUCCGGGGAUAACAGGCUGAUACCGCCCAAGAGUUCAUAUCGACGGCGGUGUUUGGCACCUCGAUGUCGGCUCAUCACAUCCUGGGGCUGAAGUAGGUCCCAAGGGUAUGGCUGUUCGCCAUUUAAAGUGGUACGCGAGCUGGGUUUAGAACGUCGUGAGACAGUUCGGUCCCUAUCUGCCGUGGGCGCUGGAGAACUGAGGGAGGCUGCUCCUAGUACGAGAGGACCGGAGUGGACGCAUCACUGGUGUUCGGGUUGUCAUGCCAAUGGCACUGCCCGGUAGCUAAAUGCGGAAGAGAUAAGUGCUGAAAGCAUCUAAGCACGAAACUUGCCCCGAGAUGAGUUCUCCCUGACUCCUUGAGAGUCCUGAAGGAACGUUGAAGACGACGACGUUGAUAGGCCGGGUGUGUAAGCGCAGCGAUGCGUUGAGCUAACCGGUACUAAUGAACCGUGAGGCUUAACCUU